CAAAUUAGAUUGUAAAAAAUUAUUAUAUGCUUUAACUUAAAUCACAGAAGCGGCAUGAAGCAGCAAAGGAGGAUAAGAAAAUGUAAGUUGUUGAUACACACACAGUUGCACUAGCAGAGUCCCAUUGCGCAUAUAUAAUAUAGUUCUCAGCAAUUUUGAAAUGCUCACGUCAGAUUUCUCACGUCAUAUAAUGGUCCUACACUCGUACCCAAUGGUAUCUGAUUCUGGAAAUG
rnacentral:lncRNA from 1 species